AAGUCAUCAUGGCCCUUACGACCAGGGCUACACACGUGCUACAAUGGCGCAUACAAAGAGAAGCGACCUCGCGAGAGCAAGCGGACCUCAUAAAGUGCGUCGUAGUCCGGAUUGGAGUCUGCAACUCGACUCCAUGAAGUCGGAAUCGCUAGUAAUCGUGGAUCAGAAUGCCACGGUGAAUACGUUCCCGGGCCUUGUACACACCGCCCGUCACACCAUGGGAGUGGGUUGCAAAAGAAGUAGGUAGCUUAACCUUCGGGAGAGCGCUUACCACUUUGUGAUUCAUGACUGGGGUGAAGUCGUAACAAGGUAACCGUAGGGGAACCUGCGGUUGGAUCACCUCCUUA
rnacentral:rRNA from 1 species